GCGCUCGCUUCGGCAGCACAUGUACGAAAACUGGAACAACACAGAGAGGAUUAGCAUGGCCCCUGCGCAGAUUCCUCAGCUCCAAGUUUCAAGCCUCCAGUUUUC